UGCCCUUAGGGCUAUUGUCUCCUGUGCGUCUGUGUAAAUUUGGUUCGGUUGAUUGUACGUCGUAGAGGCCAUUCGUCUGUCCGCGUGUGUGUUUGAGCUUUGCCAGGGUCUGUUUUGAAGAACGAACUGUCAUGUUGAGUUCAUGUAUAAUGCACCAGAGCAACGCGGCUGCGCGCACUUCGUGUAAUGCUCAAGAAAGAAAGAAUAUCUGCCACUCACAUUCUGAAGGUUGGGAUUCAUCUUCUGACCUGCGACUUUUGUUUGUCAUGUGUAAGUUGCCGAUUGCCUAACUUCCACAUGGACAUGGUGGUGCGCAGCGCACACCGGAGACCGGCCGGAUUGUGUGCCUGACGGAAGGGAUUUCGGGCCGGCCGCCGGAAAGCCGAGAGCGACGAGGCAAUGCCCGGGUCGUCGCCUGUGGGUGGCUGUAGCGCGACGAUUCUCCGCAACUUGGUAAAAUGGGUGCCCGGCUGUUCCUUGUUACUACUUCCAUCGGCCACUACCACAGGAAACUCGAGAUCGGCGUGGAGGUGCUCGCCCUCGCCAUGCGAUUCCCGGUGUGGGAAAUCGGACGAACUUUGUGGCAUGUUCGUUUUGGCACCUCUCCCUCCUCUGCUCGGCUAGUAUAAUGGUCUAUAGCUGGCCAAACGGGCCGGGCCAAUCAGGCCAGCGCACGAUCACGCCGGCACGGCCUGCUCGUCGUGCCUGGCACGCAGCACAACUUGGGUCAUGCCUGGGCCUAGAGACUGGGCCUGACACGCGGGCCGGCACGGCAUGGCCCGUUUAGUAUUUUUAUUUUUUUCAGAAAUUUACAUAUACAUAAUAUGACCUAAAUUACAGCACAAUAAGCUUAAAAUACAGUCCAAUAGGCUGAAACAUAUGUGGCCUAGUGUGCUAAACGUGCCACGGGUCGGCCUGUUUAAUAACCAGACCGUGCCUAGGCCGAGGAGUGGCACACGUGGGCCGGCCCGGCCCGGCUACUAAACGUGCCAGCUCUGUAAUGGUGCUCUUGGUUAUAGCGAUCACACUGGCGCACAUUGGACUGUUUUGCUAAAGCACGUCCUUCGCCUCCAGCUGAAUCUCUGGAUCGAUAGCUCCAUGAGGCGAGCACCCCUAUUCCCCGCCUACAGCGAGUGUAACUCGUGACUCGCUUAAGGGGGCGAGCAAUAUACCCACGCGCAAGUGAGGCUGAAGCCUGUUUUUCUGUGUUUUUACAAUUUCUGUUUCUGUUUUUGUUUUAUUUUGUAUUUUGUUUAUACAUUAAAAUACUUUAAAUAUAUAUGUACAAAACUGCACUUUAAAAACACAUAAAAAAUAUUUAAAAAAUGUUGAAUAAAUAUUAGAAAUCUUAAAAAAGAUUUUGAAAAUGUUGAAUAAUUAUUAAAUAAUUUUCAACGAGUACAUGAAAAAUGAUGAACAAGUAUUUGAAAAUGUUGACUAUUGAUAAUGUUGAAACAUUAUUUAAAAAUGUUGAAUACGUACUAAAAAUGUUAAACAAGUAUUUGAAAAAUAUUGAAUAAUUAUUAAAUAAUUUUGAGCCAGUAUUUGAAAAUGUUGAACAAUUAUAUGAAAAGUGUUCAAUAAGUAUUAAAAAAUGUUGAAAUAGUAUUUGAAAAAUCUUGAAUAAGUAUUAAAAAUGUUAAACAAAUAUUUGAAAAAUAUUGAAUAAUUAUUAAACAAUUUUGAGAGAGUAUAUGAAAAAUUGUGAACAAAUAUUUGAAAAUGUUGAAUAAGUAUUUAAAAUGUUGUACCAUUAUUUGAAAAAUACUGAACAUGUAUUUGAAAAAUAUUGAACAAGUAUUUGAAAAAUGUUGGACAAGUAUUUGAUUUUUUUGAACAUGAAUUUUGAAAAAAUAUUGAAUAAGUGUUCGGACAGUGUUGAACGUGUAUACACAGAAUGUUUAUCACUUAUUAGAAAAUGUUUUGGACAUAUACAAAAAAGUAGAGGGAAAACGAAAACAAACAUAAGAAAAAACAAAGAAAUAGAGACAAAAAAACCCCAAAAUAAUGGAGAAGGAAAAAGAGAACCAAACAAAAAUGAAGAAGAAAAAAGAAAAGCAAACCAAAAAACGAGGAAAGCCAUGUCAAAAAAGAAAAACAAAAACCAAAAAAAAACCCGUGAUGAAAACAGAAAAACGGUGGAAAACCGUAUCGUCGCCCUAAAAAAGGUCACGCCUUCUGUUUUAACAGAAAGCUAAUUGUACCUCAAUAUCUUCCUACAUUGGCUACCUGCCAGGAGAAUAGGGUUCAAAUCCUCGAAACUCCCUUUUUGCUUCUUUUUUGGAAUUUUCUUAUUAUCCUUUCAUUUAUUUACAAAAUAUUUUUCAAACUAAAAAUACAAUAGUCAAUAUUCCUUAGAAAAUAGUUCAUUUUACUACCCUGAAAAAAGUUGGUGGUUCACAUAACCCCCUGAUCUUUAUUUCUGUUCCUUUCACCUCCUAAACAAUCCUAUACCGGGCAAAAUCAAUCCCUGGAUGGUUUUGACUCAUCUUGGCGCUGACGUGGCAACAGUCAAAUGGUGGUUUUGACCUGUGGGUGGGCCUCCGUUAGGUGGACCACGUUUUGUCGUCGCCUACCUCACCGAGCAUCGCCCCCUCGCACUCGAACCCUGCCCUGCCUCCGACCGACGCCGGUGACUACCGGAGUUCCAAGGCGCCACCCCGAGCGCCCCGCUUCUCCUUCCUCCCUUCUCUUUCCUCUCCCUCUCUCUUCCCUCGUAUCUCUCUCUCAGGUACAGGUCACUCCGCCGCCACAAGCUCGUCGCCGUACCAUCUUCACACCGUCGCCGGAGUCCGGAUCCGGCCGGAACCAGAUCAGAUGGGGGCGCCACCCUCGGAUCUGGUCGUCCCUCGCCUCCCCGCGCCGCCUGCAUCGCUGUAGCACCGCCGGCUCCACGUCCAUGGCCAGCCCUUGCUACCGCAUCCACACCCCUGACCAACCGCCUCUGGUCAAUGAGAGGCCAUGACCUCCGCAACCGCCUUGACCGUUGCAUCGGCCUCCUCUACGCACGGCUGCGCCUGAGCACGACCGCGCCGAUGCGUCGCCGCUGAAGCCCUCCACGCCGGCGACCUCGGAGCAGGACCGCGCCAAUGUGGCAUCAUUAGUUUAGGUCCCCUUCUGUUAAUCCGAGACAUUGACAUGUGGGUCCCCUUCAUCACUAGGUUUAGUCUGAGACAUUGACAUGUGGGCCCCCUUCUGUUAAUGAUGCAAUUAGGGCUAAAUUAGUCCCUUGUUAAUCUCCGUGCAGCCGAGAUGUUGGACCCAUGUGUCAUAUUUGACCAGGCCCAACAGUCAGUGAGAGUGUCUAGCUGAGAGGGACCCACCCGCAGGCCAAAUACCGCCUUUGACUGUGUCCACGUCAGCAUCCGGUAUGUGCAAAACCAGCCAGGGACGGUUUUUGCCUGGUUUGGGAUUGUUUAGGGAGGUAAGGGAACCGAAAAAAGAUCAGGGGGUUAUGUGAACCACCAACUUUUUUCAGGGUAGUAAAAUAGACUUUUUUCUAUUCCUUAUAAUAGAUAUACUUAAUUAUAUCAUAAGAAUCUUAAGAUAUUUUUUGACUAGAUAGAAAUAGUAAAUUUCAAUCGAGACACCUAUUCCAUGACAGAUUUAAACUUAGCUUCUAUUUUCAUGUCUUUAGUAGGCUUAGUACUUCUGGCAAUCGCAAUGACUUCUUUAUCUCUUUAUGUGCAAAACGAUAAGAUUGUCUACUCUUUUUUAGUGUAAGUAAUAUAAUAUGGUAGGGUAUGUGGCUUUAUCUACACAUAGAUGAAAAACGGUUAUGGAUGCGGAUAUAAUAUAGGCUACGAGCAUAAGUGCAUGAAUAUCCAGAGCCAGGUAUAGCGAGUUUUAUCUUAUUUAUUUUAAUUGAAUCAAUGAAUAUAUUUUGAAUAGAAAGUCAAUGCAUCUAGCCUAUUAUUUCACAGGAGUACUAGUUGCUGAAGGCGAUUUCAGAAUAAAAAAAGUAAAGUCAAAAUUAUUCUCUUCUUUUAACUACAUAUGCUAAUGGGCCUGUCUAGUUGUUAGGCGAACCUUCAGCAUGAGAGGAGCAACUUCUCUCGCUAAAGGCGAGAAAUAAACACCGCGCAAUGAGCCUACUACGAUUUCUGCUCUUUAUCGCCUUUCUUUUUCACUACACACAGUUUGAAAAAUGUUCACAAAGUAGAAAUUUGUCAGUAAAUUUAAAAAUUGCUCAUGAAUUUGAAAAAGGGGGUCACAAAAUAAAAAACAUGAAUGUUAUAAUGAGUUGUAAUGUUCAAAAACAAAUGGGUUCGAAUCAGUUUUCAUAAAUUUUAAACUUUUCUGCGACAUCCAAAAAAUGUCCAUGAAUUGGAAAAAAUGUCCAUGAAAUCAAAUAAUGUCGCCGGAUUCAACAAAAUGUUCAAGGAAUCGAAACUUCUUCAUAAAUCUGAAAAAUAUUCCCGAAUACGAAACACAUCUCAGGAAAUAAAACAUUUUCAAUAAUUCAAAAAAAGUAUGUGAAUACAAAAAAUGUUCAUGAAUUUGAAAUUUUGUUCUAGAUUCAAAAACAUUAUUGUGAAUUCAAAAUUUAUUUUUGAAUUCAUUAAAUCAAAAACUAUUCAUGAAUAUGAAUAAUAUUCACGAUUUUUUAAAACUGUUUACAAAUUCAAAAAUUAUUCAAGAAAUAAAAAAAUGUUCAUAUAAAUACAAAUAAUGAAAAAACCGGAAGGAAACCAAAAUAAGCUAUGGAGAAAACAAAAGGAAAUCAAACAUAGAAAUAAAAAAAGAAAACCAAUGAAACACAAACAAAAAUAAAAA
rnacentral:lncRNA from 1 species